GAGAGCAGCAAGAAGCGUAUGCUCGACUUGGUUCACAAUCUCCAGACUGCGCUUUCACAGCGCAUCGAUGAGGCUACAUGGAUGAGUGCUGCUACCAAGGCACAGGCUAAGGAUAAGCUGGAGAACUUCAUCAUCAAGAUCGGCUAUCCUGACAAGUGGAAGGACUAUGGCGGAUUGCAGGUAGAUGACAGCCUCUCUCUCUACGAGAAUAUGGCAAAUAUCUCUGAGUUCUUUACCAAGGAUGCCAUCGCCCGCAAGGUGAACAAGCCGGUAGAUAAGACUGAGUGGGGAAUGACUCCUCAGACUAUCAAUGCUUAUUAUAAUAAGGCUUCAUACCGCCAUUUCCCCGGCGCAUCUGCCCUUCAUGAAAUGCUUUUGCCAUAUCCAUAGCCUGCUGUAUGCGUUCUGAAACCUGUACAUCCGGUCCAACCAUAUCAUCAACGCCUUUUCCCAGUGUCAUGUCAGCCAUCUUCUUAUCCCUUUCAGUACAUCCCAAACUACACAAAGUAUAACAUAGCAGCCUUGAAUAAUCUAUCCAUUUUUUAUAUACUUAACAAAUGUGCUUCUAUUAAAUUUUACAUUUACAAUGAAAUAUUUUUUACUUUGCACAUCACACUUUACAAAAGGAGUAUAUACAUGGACAUAAUCAAGAAAAUUGCUCAGGAGAUAGGCUGUCGCGACAGCCAGGUUGAAGCAGCGGUAAAACGCUGUGGAGGACCGAACGCACGCCUGUUGAAAUAGUCGGCGAUGACUUGUGGUUAGCGGAGAAAUUCCAAACGAAUUCGGAUAUAGCUGGUUCUCCUCGAAAUAGCUUUAGGGCUAGCCUCAACGUAGAGAGUAUCGGGGGUAGAGCACUGAAUGGGCUAGGGGCCUUCACGGGUUACCGAACCUUAUCAAACUGCGAAUACCGGAAACUUAUGCUUGGGAGUCAGACGGCGUGAGAUAAGUUUCGUCGUCAAAAGGGAAACAGCCCAGAUCUACAGCUAAGGUCCCAAAGUUAAGGUUAAGUGGUAAAGGAUGUGGUAUUGUACAGACAACCAGGAUGUUGGCUUAGAAGCAGCCACACAUUCAAAGAGUGCGUAAUAGCUCACUGGUCGAGUGACACUGCGCCGAAGAUUACCGGGGCUAAAACCUUACACCGAAGCUUAGGAAUUGUAUCAAGAGAUACAAUUGGUAGAGGAGCAAUGCAACAGAGCGGAAGCACGAUCGGAAGGGCGUGUGGAUUUGUUGCAAGAGAGAAUGCCGGCAUGAGUAGCGAGAGAAAAGUUGAAAUCUUUUCCGUCGAAAGCCUAAGGUUUCCUGGGGAAGGUUCGUCCACCCAGGGUAAGUCGGGACCUAAGUCGAGGCUGAAAAGCGUAGAUGAUGGACAACGGGUAGAUAUUCCCGUACCACCGCAAUAGUUCGAAGCAGGGACGCAGAAGGAUAGUCGGACCACGGAGAUGGAUCCGUGGCCAAAUCAUGAGGCCGGCUCGUAGUGAAGUACGCGAGUCAUAAGGCUAGGUGAUGACGGGGAGCGAAAAAUAGUAGUGAAGCCGAUGAAUUCACGCUGACGAGAAAAGCUGCUAAGGUAGAUAUUGAGGUGCCCGUACCGCAAACCGACACAGGUAGGCGGCAAGAGAAUUGCAAGACGAACGGGAUAACCAUUGGUUAAGGAACUCGGCAAAAUGACCCCGUAACUUAGGGAGAAGGGGAGCCUAGCGAUAGGUCGCAGUGAAAAGGCCCAAGCGACUGUUUAUCUAAAACACAGGUCUCUGCAAAAGCGCAAGCUGAAGUAUAGGGGCUGACGCCUGCCCGGUGCUGGAAGGUCAAGGGGAAAUGUUAGGAGUUGUAUCCGAAGCAUAGAACUUAAGCCCCAGUGAACGGCGGCCGUAACUAUAACGGUCCUAAGGUAGCGAAAUUCCUUGUCAGGUAAGUUCUGACCCGC
rnacentral:rRNA from 1 species